CACUCAUGCCCGUACGAUCACCGAAGUUAAGCAACGUCGAGUCUGGUCAGUACCUCGAUGGGUGACUGGUUGGGAAUAUCAGGUGCUGGAA